rnacentral:rRNA from 1 species
CACGUAGGGGGCAAGCGUUGUCCGGAUUUAUUGGGCGUAAAGAGCUCGUAGGCGGUUCGGUAAGUCGGGUGUGAAACCUCCAGGCUCAACCUGGAGUCGCCACUCGAUACUGCUGUGACUAGAGUCCGGUAGGGGAGCGUGGAAUUCCUGGUGUAGCGGUGAAAUGCGCAGAUAUCGGGAGGAACACCGGUGGUGUAGACGGCUUUCUGGACCGUAACUGACGCUGAGACACGAAAGCGUGGGUAGCAAACAGG